UGGGGAAUAUUGCGCAAUGGGGGAAACCCUGACGCAGCAACGCCGCGUGAAGGAUGAAGGGUUUCGGAUCGUAAACUUCUUUGAUGAGGGACGAAACAAAUGACGGUACCUCAAAAACAAGCCACGGCUAACUACGUGCCAGCAGCCGCGGUAAUACGUAGGGGGCGAGCGUUGUCCGGAAUGACUGGGCGUAAAGGGCGCGUAGACGGCUGUCUAAGUCUGGAGUGAAAGUCCUGCUUUCAAGGUGGGAAUUGCUUUGGAGACUGGAUGGCUUGAGUGCGGAAGAGGUAAGUGGAAUUCCCAGUGUAGCGGUGAAAUGCGUAGAGAUUGGGAGGAACACCAGUGGCGAAGGCGACUUACUGGGCCGUAACUGACGUUGAUGCGCGAAAGCGUGGGGAGCGAACAGG
rnacentral:rRNA from 1 species